rnacentral:Y_RNA from 1 species
GGCUGAUCUGAGUGGAGUGGUGUUUUCAGCUAAUUGAUCACAACCAGUUACAGAUUACUUUGUUCCUUCUCCACUCCCACUGCUUCACUUGACUAGCUUUUU